rnacentral:rRNA from 1 species
GAUGAACGCUGGCGGCGUGCCUAAUACAUGCAAGUCGAGCGAACAGACGAGAGUGCUUGCACUCUCUGACGUUAGCGGCGGACGGGUGAGUAACACGUGGGUAACCUACCUAUAAGACUGGGAUAACUUCGGGAAACCGGAGCUAAUACCGGAUAAUAUUUAGCUUCGCAUGAAGCAAUAGUGAAAGACGGUUCUGCUGUCACUUAUAGAUGGACCCGCGGUGUAUUAGCUAGUUGGUGAGGUAACGGCUCACCAAGGCAACGAUACAUAGCCGACCUGAGAGGGUGAUCGGCCACACUGGGACUGAGACACGGCCCAGACUCCUACGGGAGGCAGCAGUAGGGAAUCUUCCGCAAUGGACGAAAGUCUGACGGAGCAAUGCCGCGUGAGUGAAGAAGGUUUUCGGAUCGUAAAACUCUGUUGUAAGGGAAGAACAAGAACGUUAGUAACUGAACGUACCUUGACGGUACCUUACCAGAAAGCCACGGCUAACUACGUG